UUUGUCUGCAGAGUGAACUCCUGGGAGACAGCUCCACCGCCAGGAGGCUCCCAAGCGAAGUCGACCUCUGCAGCUCUCCACCUUCACUCACCGGGGACGCUGGGCGCCUAGGAAGCUGACAACAGCGACAUGGUUAGCUACUGAUUGCAGAACCAAAUGGUGUUCUCUGACAAAAUUCUGGUGCACUGCUAUGGAGGCAUGGCCCACCUGGUCUUCAGAGGCAAGGUGACGUCCACAGUGCAUCAGCACGCGGGGACUUGACAUCACAAUCUUCUCCGAGUUUUGUCUGCAGAGUGAACUCCUGGGAGACAGCUCUGCCACCAGGAGGCUCCCAAGCAAGUCGACCUCUGCAGCUCUCCACCUUCACUCACCGGGGACGCUGGGCACCUAGGAAGCUGACAACAGCGACAUGGUGAGUGUGUGGACCUAGUUGUACUGAGAGGGGAAAACGGAGCCGAAGGCCAGGAGGACACAGGCCUCCAGCAUCUGUGGGCUCCAUAUUGGCGCUGGCACAGGGCUUCCCCUCGGUCCCCUCAGACCCGUGGGUUGGGGGCUUUACCGGCACCCAGGACCCCCGAGGUCCUGCCCCUUCCCUGCUUGGGUGAGACUUCUCAGCCCAGAGACAUAGCAGGCCAGCUAUGUGGCAGUAGCUGCACGUCUCCCCCGAUUGUGCAGUGGGGACUGGGUGGUCUCUAGGGAGAAUGUGGGCUCUGUGUAUGUGGUUCAUGCGGGACAGGUGCUGUCGGUUCCUCCUUCCCUCCCCACAGGCACCUGGUUCCCCCGAGUUUUCUCAAUAUGUGGCCUGCAGGGUACUUUCCAGGGCAUUGACCUCUUUACACAGCUGUUUCUAGGAUGUCUCACUCCUUCAUAUGUUUCCAAUAUCACAGUAACAUAGACUGAGUAAGGUAGAAACAGAAGUUUUAUUUGGCUUGGGGUUUUCACCCAGGUUUUAGAGAAGCAGAAAGACCCUGUAAUUUGGUACUUGGGCAACGUCUUAGCACUUACACUUUCUCUGUACAGGGUGCCAUCUCUAUUUGCACUUUCGAAAUAGAAUUUUGACCACUCAAAUUUAUGUGUGUUUUAAAAAUGAUUUUUCUUGCAUGAAAGUCUUCCAAAUCCUGUAGAUAUGUCUAGUUUACUAAGUUAUUUUGGAUUUACAUUUUAAUAUAGGAGCCUGUUUAGUUUUGCUUGUUUUAAUUUUUUCAAGAUUGUCAGAGUAUGACUGACACAAUUUGUGUAUCAUCAAGGUAUGAAAACUGAUGUUUUGCUAUGUGAGGGACAUUAAAAAGUUAUGGACAAUUCACAUUAUCGUUUGAUUACAUUUUUUCAUAAACUUUCUGGAAUCCUCUUGUACAUAUACAUUGUGAAAUGAUUAAGACAAUCUAAUAUAUCCAUCACAUUACAUCCCUAUGUUAUUAAAGAAUAUGGAAGAUAUUAGCAAGUUGUGAGUAUGUGAUAUCAUAAUCAACUAUUUACUGUGUUGAAUAUUAAGGUCUUGAGGUGUUAAUUUUGUUAAUUUAUCUCAUAGCUGCAAAUGUGUGUUCAGCUAACAUUUUCCCAUGUCCUUCACUCUCAGCCCAUGACAACCACCAUUCUAUUCUGUGAUUAAGUGUGACUUUCUUAGAUUACACAUAUGAGUGAUAUUGUGUGGCAUUUAUCUUUCUGUGCCUUAUUUCAAAUAGCCUAAUGUCCACAUUCAUAUUUUUGGAUCCACAUCCUGACAAAAUGGAAGAAUUUCCUUAUUAAGGUUGUCUGUGAUUCCUGUGUAUGUGUGUUUAUCACAUUUUCUUUAUUCAUAUGUUGACAGUGGGGUUGUCUCCAUAUCUUGUUCUUGUAGAUAAUGCUGCCAGUAAUAUGGAGAUAAAGGUAUCUAUUUGAGAUACUGAUUUGGUUUCCUUUGGAUAUACACGCAGUUGUGAGAUUGCUUUGUCAUAUGUUCUAUGUUUAAUUUUGAUUGAAGACCUACAUAAUGUUUUCUAUAUUGGAUGUACCAAUUUACUUUCUCAGCAACAAUUUUUAUAUUCCUUUUUUCCACCCUGGGACAAUGUUAUCUUUUUACUUUUGGAUAAUUGUUUUAACAUAUAUGAGAUGAUAAUCACUGUGGUCUUAAUUAGCAUUGUAGUCUUCAUUAGCUGUUUCUGAACCCCUUUUAAGUUACCUGUUGGCUACUUGUAUAUAUUCAAUGGAAAACUGAUCAAUCCUUUGUGCAAUUUUUAUUACAAUAUUUGUUUUUGAGUUGUUUGUGUUCAAACUCAGGUUGUCCAAUGUUUUCUUCAUUUCUUGCUUUAUCUGUUCUGUUUUUCCUAUCACAUGCAGAAUAUUUCUUAGAUUUUUUUCAGUCUUUGCUUUUGUCACCUCUGCGUGUAGUGUCAUAUCUAAACAAUCAUUGUUGAGACUAAUAUCAAUGAAUUUGCUUCCAUUUGUAAGGGGUUUUAUAUUCUCAGACCUUUUAUGUAAGCCUUCAAUUCAUUUUGAUUUGACUUUCAUGCCUGGGUAAUAUAAAGAUAUUAUAUUUCAGUUUUUGGCAUGUAGAUGAACAAUUUUCCUCUGCUUCAGAUGUGGUCACUAAACACUAAGUGGCAGGAUCCAGGCAGAAACUGUCACAGUGCAGUUUUUCCCUAAUCUGCCUUGUCUCCCAGACCCACUCUUCUGUGUUCUGCUGCUCUUCCCUGUCUGCAUGAAUAGACCUCAGAAGUGAGCGUGCACAGAGAGAGACACAUGAAGCAGUGUGCAAUGUUGGGGAGAAGCAGAAACUAUGUAGUAAAUGGGCAGGGCCCAGAAGGCUCUGUCUCCUUUCUCUGAAAGCCUUGGAUAUACAGAGGCACUUCAAAAAUUCACUGAGGGAUUGACAUUUGGCAUGUGUUACAACCCUGCUUAGUAUGUCCACAUCCUAUAUUGGCAUGCCUAGGUUACAGUCACAACUCUCAAUUCCAGCUUUAUGCUAAUAUGCACUUUUGGAGGGAGUGAUGGCUGAAGUAUGUGGGUCCCUGUAACCCAUAUGAGAGACUCAUAUCAUCUGGGAAGCAGAGCUGAUGGGGUCCUCCAUGCAGAGUGGAUGAACAUGAGGUGUUCCUUUGCUGCAAUGUGUGUUGGUGAUCUGGAAAAUAACACUCCAUUAUGAACUUUCUUAUGUCAAACAAUGAUGCACAACUGAGAAAAGGAGGCUACUGAGGUAUUCAGGCAUUUUUUCAAUUAGCCUAUGCUGCUGCCAUCCACACAGGGAAGGGGCCCAACUGGAAUAGUCCCAGUCUGACCACAUGGAUGCAGGAGGUUUAUUUAAAUUUUGAAAAUUAAUUUUAUUCACAUUAAAGGCACAGCGAUCUCUCAUCCACUGUUCUCUCCAUAUAGUCACAAUAGCUGGAAUUCAGCCAGGUUGUGAUGUGAAAACAUCAGGUUUUAUGAAGUGAAAAUCCCAGAACUCGGUGUGGGUGGCACAGACCCAAGUACCUGAGCUAUUAUAUGCUGCCUCCUAGGGUGCACUUUAGUAGGAAGCUGGAUUGGAAGUGGAGUGGGACUCAAACCUACACACUCUAAUAUAGGAUGUGGGUCUCGAAAGAGCCAUCUUACAUGCUGUUCCCCAAUGCUCACCCCUCUGUUAUUUUAAGAGGAGCCCUACAACAGUCCAAACCAACUCUCCUGGCCCUGAUGGUCAUAGCCCCUGAAUUUAAGCUGUGCAGACCCUCAACACUCUAGAAAAACCCAAGUACAUCCACGCAAUGGAGUGUUCACAGCAGCACAUUCCUGCUGUGCUUGUCACUCGGAACUAUGAAGCUAAACGUGUGCCAUCAGGUGCUGUUCUGCCUGACACCUCUUCAUCCACUUUCCACAAGCUGAUACCACAUCUGGCCAUCCACAUCAAAGUGGUCACUAUUAGAUGCUGUGUUGAAGGGGGAUCCCAAGUUGUCUCAUUUCAGAUAAACUUCAUGUGUUGCUUCAGACACUCCUCGGCACUGAUGUGGCUCUUCCCCCCAGAUAGUCUCCAUAGUAGGUCCCUUGGCACAGUAGUUCAUGCACCCCACAGGCACCUCUGUGGGUGACAGUCAUCUGUUUACUGGGCUCAUAGCCUAGAUAAUUGUGUCUUCUUGGACACUGAAUCAGGUAUUACUUCAUCAGUGUGGUUUUCCAGCCUGCUGGGUCAUUGGCGAAAAGGAGGACAAGUCCUUAGUAUACCUGCAUGGUCAACAUAUUAAGGCGGGACUCUUCCUUUUACCAUGAACCCUGGUAUUGUUUCUCCCCACUUCUCAUUUACGGUUUCUCAUCCUUGGUUGGCAUGGACAGUCUGGAAUAUCUUCUCCACCAAGCCUAAUGCUUUGUACAGAUGGGGUAUGCUGACAAAGGGCCUGUGCAUUUCCUCAAUUAACUCUGCAGCAUCAACACUCAAGCAAGGCCAUAGUAGAAUUUGCCUCAGUUAAUCACCACAUAAUGGAAAUAUGUGUUUUGAAAUUUGCAUUUGUAACUUAUUGCAGGUGGAAGCUUAACAUUCUGCCUCACAAUCAUAAUUCCAACCAGCCUAUUUUUACAGGUUAAAAAAAGAAAUCAUUUUCAGACUGCAUUGAUUUGCAAGAAUAUGAUAAAAUAAUUCAAGUGACAUUAGGGUUAGAUGUUUAAUAUGUUGGUAAAUUUGCCUAGAGAGAGUGCCUGCCUUCUAAUUUUGUAUUAGGAAGGAAGGCCAGUUAGGGGGUGACAACCAUAGCAUUAUGUAAUGAGUAGUAGACAACUUUUCUGUUUGGUUUAACCCUUUGAACAGCCUAACAUGGAAUAGAAACUGCUCAAAUGUUUGUUGAGUGAGUAGAAAUAUCCAAGGAACCUGGAAGAUAUGAGAAAAACCCAAAAACCUAUAUUUUUUCAGUGAUUUACUGAAUACCCAGCUUUGGCUUCAUGCUGUGGGAGCCAGUGCUGUGUCUAGGAAUACUGAUAGCAGCAGCAAUUUAUUGUGCUUCUUGUGAGCCAAGCAUUCUGCACACAUUUGUUUUUCAUUCUCUCUGUUACUCUGUGAGUUGAACAUUGUGGGUUUUUUUUAUCCAUAAGGAAACUGAGGCCAAAAGAGGCCAAGUAGCUGGACAACAAACAGUAAGGUGUUCCCUUAACUCCUGUAUUCUAAGGCCUGCUUGGCUCAUAAAGCACCCUUUCUUGUGGGAAGUAAACAUAAUUGGGACAAUUACAAAUUAGCAUGCUAGGGAAUAAUUGUAUAGUAUGCCUCUCUUUCUACAUAUUUGUGUGCUACCAGCAUUUCAUCAAGUGUGGGGUUUUGUCAUGAUUAAGUCUGUAUGCUUUGGAGUUAGAUGCAUGGAUUGGAAUCAUUCCUGUGUGUGUAAAACUGGACAUGUAGCCAUGCAUUUAAACAUUUAUUACAACUUCAUAUAAAGUGUGGAUGAUAAAGGCACCUGCCUCCUUGUUGUGAGGGAUGUGUAACUUGUGUAAAAUAAUUCAGUGUGUGGUAGGCAUUGCAUCUCAGCAGGUUAAGCUACAGCUUGGAAUGCUCACAUCUCAUAUUGGAGUGCUGCAUUGAAUGCUAGCAACCACCAUUCAGCUAGCUAUUGAUGUACUUGGGAAAGCGGUAGAGGAUGGUGCAAGGGCUUGUGUCCUGCCACACCUCUGGGAGGCUUGGAUGGAGUUCCUGGCUCUUGACUUUGGACUGAUUCAGUCUUAAAGAUGGGCACUCGAUGAUUGAUCCAGUGGUUGGAUGCUUUCUCCCUCUAUUCUCCCUCAUCACACUCUUCCCUAUCUCUCUUUACCGCCUUCUUUAUCUUUUACUUUGCCAUUUAAAUAAAUAAAAACAAAAUGAUUCUGUGUCUGACAAACUGGUUCUCAUACAAUUCAGUGUCUGACAAACUGUGGUUCUCAUACAAUGUAAGGUUUACAAAUCCACUGAUUUGUAUCAGUUUUAUUCAUCUAUCCCACAUAUCUCAAAUGAUGAUUUAAAAUAGGUAAACAGUAAGUGUUUAAUGAAUAAUAUAUUUUAAUAUGUAAAUAUCUAGGUCCAAUUACAUUAGAAAGAUCCUCAUUCUAUUUUCACAUGUAAAGCAAGAUUGGGAUGGACUGAAUAUGUGGCAACAUAAACCCAGAGGCAGAUGGGAACCAGAAGGAAUGGAGAAACUUUUGCAAAAUGAAUUAUUGGAAAGUUUGCUGGCUAAAUAGCUCAUUUACAUAUUUUCUUACUAGUUUUAGAAUGAAUAUACUCUCUAUGUUUUUCUUGGUAAUCACAAUAUAAUGUGACACACGUGUUGUGGCAAUAGGACUCUAUUCUAAUGUUGAUCCUACAAAGCUGUUUUACUGUUUCUUAGAAUUAACACUGCAUUCCACCUCAAUUUUCAUUAGAGAGCUGCUAUGGAAAAUUUCUAUACCUCUCAAGAAAGAGUAAUACUGACAUGUAAGGCCAGGUGCAUCACUCAAAUCAUCCCAAUUAGAUUUCUCAAUGCUUGAUAUAAUCAGAAAACUGUGUUUUCUUAGCUUCUUGGUAAAGUUCAUUCAUAAACUCAGAAAGAAUUUAUUGAAAAUAUGUGUGUCUGUCCAUGCCUGUAGUGUAACAAGUGUAGUCUAUGAAUUCAGUCCUGUACUUUAGGAGUUUAUAGGAUUAUUGAAUGAAGCAAGGAGCAUAAUAGAUUUCUAUUUAAAAUGUAUGAUGGCUUUUGCACUUAAAAUAUGUUCUAGGUUUUUCAUGUCAGUUAAUUGACAUUAACUGUUAUUUUGUAUCCUUGGAACUGCAUUAUGGAAUAUUUUCCUUUCAUAUUUCAAAGUAAACACCACAAUUCUCAAAGAUGGUUUUGUGAUUCUGGUCAUUGCUUACAACAUGUUGCUGUGAAAAUAAUAGAAUGGUUGCAAUCUCAUGGUUUUAUUGAAUGUGGGUUUGGGAGAUUCCAAAAUGGAGGAAAGAAUAAAUUGAAUUUCUACUGAUUUUUCUCUUCAUUGGAGCACUGCACAGCAUAAAACCAUUGCCCCUCCAAGCCUUCUUCAACCACACACCUCAUUCUACCAAAGUCUUUUUUUUUACAUAUUCUAUAAUUCCAUUUGUAUAGAAAAGGCAAAUAUAUAUGGAGAGAUAGCAGUUUAUGACUUACAUGGGUCUGCUGGGUAAAAUUGGUAAAAUUAGAGAAAGACUUCAAAAAAGCUUGUAAGAACUUUUGGAGUGAUGGGACUUUCCUAAAGCUGGAUUGUGGCAAUGGUUACCCACCUGUAUACAUGUACCAAAAGUCAUUGAACAGUAUUGUUAGAAUGUAUGAUUAGUUGAUGUAUAUGAUAUACACAAACUUUAAUUUCAAUCUAAAAAUUAAAACAAAUGAAUGCACAGUCUUUUUACCUUUAACAGAAGAAAGAAUAAUCAAUGUUUUAAUUCUAUCUAGACAAGUAAUAUAAAAUAUCAAAUCAUAUUAUAUAAUAUAUAUAAAUAAUAUCUGACAAUAAUACUAACACUACUACUAGAUAUGUGCUGUCUAUAUGUUAAUUUGCUUGAUCCAACCUGCCUAUGAAGUACAAUAAUCAUCUUCAUUUUACAGAAGAAGGACAGUUAUCAUGGUUUUAUAUUUUGCCUAAGGUAACACAAAUUGUAGUUGGUAGAGGUACAAUUUAAUUUUUUUGACAGGCAGUGUUAGACAGUGAGAGAGAGAGACAGAGAGAAAGGUCUUCCUUCCAUUGGUUCACUCUCCAAAUGGCCACUAUGGCCGGUGCUGUGCCGAUCCAAAGCCAGGAGCUGGGUGCUUCUUCCUGGUCUCCCAUGCAGGUGCAGGGACCCAAGCACUUGGGCCAUCCUCCAGUGCCCUCCAAGGCCACAGCAGAGAGCUGGACUGGAAGAGGAGCAACUGGGGCUAGUAGCUGGCACCCCAACUGGUACUAGAACCUGGGAUGCCAGCACUGCAGGCAGAGGAUUAGCCAAUUGAGCCACGGUGUCAGCCGGUAGAGGUAGAAUUUGAAUCCUUUUUUUUUUUUUUUGCCUGUAGAUUUCUAAGCAUGAAACGCCAAUUUAUUGUGUUUUUUUUUAACUUUUAUUUAAUGAAUAUAAAUUUCCAAAGUACAGAAUAUUGAUUACAAUGACUUCCCCCCCAUAACGUCCCUCCAACCCGCAACCCUCCCCUUAUCCACUCCCUCUCCCCUUCCAUUCAUGUCAAGAUUCAUUUUCGAUUCUCUUUAUAUACAGAAGAUCAGUUUAGCAUACAUUCAGUAAAGAUUUCAACAGUUUGCUCCCACACAGAAACAUAAAGUGAAAAAUACUGUUUGAGUACUAGUUAGAGCAUUAAAUCUCAAUGUACAGCACACUAAGGACAAAGAUCCUACAUGAGGAGUAAGUGCACAAUGACUCCUGUUGUUGACUUAACAAAUUGACACUCUUGUUUAUGGCAUCAGUAAUCACCCUAGGCUCUUGUCACGAGCUGCCAAGGCUAUGGAAGCCCCCUGGGUUCACUGACUCUCAUCAUUUUUAAACAAGGCCAUGGUCAAAGUGGAAGUUCUCUCCUCCCUUCAGAGAAAGGUACCUCCUUCUUUGAUGACCCAUUCUUUCCACUAGGAUCUUACUCGUGGAUAUCUUUCAUUUAGGUUUUUUUUCCCCCAGAGUGUCUUGGCUUUCCAUGCCUGAAAUACUCUCAUGGGCAUUUCAGCCGGAUCCGCAUGCCUUAAGGGCUGAUUCUGAGGCCAGAGUGUUGUUUAGGACAUUUGCCAUUCUAUGGGUCUGCUGUGUAUCUCACUUCCCAUGUUGGACCAUUCUCUCCCUUUUUUAUUCUAUCAGCUAGUAUUUGCAGACACUAUUCUUGUUUAUGUGAUCCCUUUGGUUCUUAGUCCUAUCAUUAUGAUCAAUUGUGAACAGAACUUGAUCACUGGGACUAGUGAGAUGGCAUUGGUACGUGCCACCUCGAUGGGAUUGAAUUCGAAUCCCCUGGUAUGUUUCUAACUCUACCGUUUGAGGUAAGUCAGCUUGAGCAUGUCCCGAAUUGCACAUCUCUUCCCUCUCUUAUUCCCACUCUUAUAUUUAACAGCGAUCACUUUUCAGUUAAGUUUCAGCACUUAAGAAGAAUUGUGUAUUGAUUACAGUAUUCAACCAAAAGUAUUAAGUAGAACAAACAAAAAAAAAUACUAAGAGGGAUAACAUAUCAAGUUGCUCAUCAACAGUCAGGGUGAGGGCUGAUCAAGUCACCAUUUCUCCUAGUGUUCAUUUCACUUUAACAGGUUUCCUUUUUGGUGCUCAGUUAUUUGUCACUUAUCAAGGAGAACAAGUGGUAUUUGUCCCUUUGGGAUUGGCUUAUUACACUCAGCAUAAUGUUUUCCAAAUUCCUAACAGGGACCACUUUUCAGUUGAAAUUUAAACACCUAAAAUAAUUGUGUGUUAAUUACAGAGUUCAACCAAUGGUACUAGAACAAAAAAAAUACUAAAAUGGAUAAAGUAUUACAUUGUACAUCAACAGUCAGGACAAGAGCUGAUCAAGUCACUGUUUCUCAUAGUGUCCAUUUCAUUUCAACAAGUUUCCCCCUUGGUGCUCAGUUAGUAGUCGCCGAUCAGGGAGAACAUAUGAUAUUUGUCCCUUUGGGACUGGCUCAAUUCACUCAGCAUGAUGUUUUCCAAAUUCAUUUAACAUUUUAUUUCAACAUUACUUUUUUUGACAAAGCAAGGGUAUUUGUGACAUCAAAUUUUAUUAUGACACAAUGUGUGAUGAUUUAACAAAAAAUUUUAUGAAAGAAAAAUGGUAGCUUUAUUACAUCAAAAUUGAUUAUGACAAAACAAUGUUAUGACAAUGACAUAUUAAGGGUAUGUUUCUGAUAUCAGAAUGUAUGAUACUAUAUUAUUAUGGCAAUAUAAAGGGGUUUAUUGUGGGGAGCAAUCCGGACUAGACUAAGUUACUCGAAUUAAGACUUAUUCUAUGCAUCUGCUCUCCCACAAUGUGGCGUUGGGAGAGAAGUAAACAGCUUCUACACAGGUGCCUCCAGUUCAGCCAAUAAACUGUAGGACUUGCUCCUGAUUGGAGGAGAGCAGCGUACUCGGCGUGUGGGCAGCCGAGUUGGGAUUGGCGGAGGAGGACUAUAAAGGAGGAGAGAGACGGCAUGCACCAGGAACAUCUAUGGGGAACAUCUAAGGGAACCCGUGCAGCCCCCGAGAAAGCCGGCCGGCGGUGUGCCGCUCCCCUGCGGAAGUGGGGAAUGUGGCCAGGGGGAACUGCCCUUCCACGGAGGUGGAAGGGAUAGUAGCCAACCCGGGAAGAACCAGCAGCAAACCCGGGGAGGGCCGAGCAGACAGAAAGAACAGCGCAGGGUCCUGUGUUGCUCCUCCACGAAGAGGGGGAGUGACAGUUUAUUACAUUCAAAUUGAUUAUAUGGUAUAAUGUUUAUGACAUCACAACUAAUUAUGGCAUCAGAAACAUUUUUAAUAUCAGAAUUGAUUAUGAUAGAAUGUUAGGUUGAUAUCAGAAUGGUAGAUAAUAACAUAAAAAUUGAUAACAGUUUCACAAUGUGUCUUAUGACAAUAUCAUGAUGACACCAAAGUUUAUGAAAGAACAAUGGUAGGUUUAUGAUAUCACAAUUUGUUACAAUAGCACAUUGGUAUGUUUAUACUAUCAGAACUAUAAUUGAUCAUGUAUCAACUGGUUAUGACAACAUAAUGUUUUUUGAUAAUACAAUGGCAGUUUAUGAUUUCAAAAUUCAUUAUGAUGUCAUAAAAUUUGGAUUAUGACAUCACAAAUUAUUAGGACUUCACAAUGGUAGGUUUAUAAUAUCAGAAUGAAUGUUUAUCAGAAGUCAAUCAAUUAUAACAUCAAAAUUAACUAUGAUUUCACAAUGUGGAUUAUUGAAUCACAAUCAUUUAGGACACCAAAAUGGUAAGUUUAUAAUAUCAAAAUUUAUUAUGACAUCACAACCAUAUCAAAAUUGGUGUCAUAUCACAGUAGUAAAUUUAUGAAUUCAUUAAUUAUGACAUCACAAUAUAUGAGAUAUGACAACAGAUUUGUUGACAUCACAAUCACAAAUGCAAAAUUAUGGUAUCAGAAUGACAGCUUAUCACAAACCAAUAGAUUAUAUCAUGAUGUUUUAUGACAAUAAAGGUGGUACAUGACAUCAAUAUUGGUAUGAAGGCAGAAAAGAUUAUAUCAUUUUGAUGAUGAUAUCACAAAUGUAGGUUUAUGAUAUCAGAAUGGUUUUUUACUCAGACCAUUUGAUUAUACUACAAUGUUAUUAUGACAAUAUAAUGUUGAUCUAUGACAUCACAAUUUCUUAUGAUGGCAUAUUGUUUUCAUUAUGAUAACACAAUUGAUUAUGAUAUCAAUGACAGGAUCAUAACAGAAAUGAGGUUUAACAUAACAAACAUAAUCUUCCAAUGUGUUAAAUGAAAAUACAACAGCGGUUUAUGACAUCAAAAUUGGUAGAUGUAGCAAGAUGAUUGGUUUAUAACAUCACAAUUUUUAUGAUGGCACAAUGGUAGGUUAAUGGCAUAGUAAUUGACAUCACAAUGGUAUUUUAUAUCAGAAUCAUGGUUUACCACAUAGCAAUUGAUUAUAACAUCAAAAUUUCUUAUGAUAACAAUUGUGAUUAACAGCAUCAAAAUUAAUUCUGAUGUCAUAAUGCUCUGGCUGAUUG